CCAUCGGCCCUUUUCAGGGCCAACAAACUUGUUCUAAAGAGUUAAUU
rfam:Aedes aegypti strain Liverpool supercont1.56 genomic scaffold, whole genome shotgun sequence.